CAGCUCCUUACCAGAUCGCCUGUCGAUCUUGGUCACCAGCUCGGCAAACUUCACAGCAAUGUGGGAGGUGUGGCAGUCCAGCACUGGGGCGUAGCCGUUGCCAAUCUGACCAGGGUGGUUCAUGAUGAUGACCUGGGAGGUGAAGUUGGCAGCCUCCUUGGCAGGGUCAUCCUUGGAGUUGGAUGCAACAAACCCACGCUUGAGAUCCUUCACAGCAACGUUCUUGACGUUGAAGCCAACAUUGUCACCAGGAAGGGCCUCCUGGAGAGCCUCAUGGUGCAUCUCAACGGACUUGACCUCAGUGGUAAGACCAGUAGGACCGAAGGUAACAAUCAUACCAGGCUUGAUGACACCAGUCUCAACACGGCCAACAGGCACAGUUCCAAUGCCACCAAUCUUGUACACGUCCUGGAGGGGAAGACGCAGGGGCUUGUCCGAGGGCCUCUUGGGCUCAUUGAUCUGGUCAAGUGCCUCAAGCAAGGUAGGGCCCUUGUACCAGUCAAGGUUGGUGGACCUCUCAAUCAUGUUGUCACCCUCAAAACCAGAGAUGGGGACGAAGGGGACCUUGUCAGGGUUGUAGCCGACCUUCUUGAGGUAGGAAGAGACUUCCUUAACAAUUUCAUCAUAACGGGCCUUCGAGUACUUGGGAGUGGUGGCAUCCAUCUAGAACAGAUCAUCAGAGCAUCCCAUCAGUUAAAUACAGCAGGCAAAAAUUAAGUACUAGCUAAUGAAAAGAAGAUGCAUUAAAACAAGAAAUAACAUUUAUAUAGUACAAAUAAACAUUUGAUUGUAGGAUAAGAGGUACUGAGCACACAAGCAAUUGCAUUCUGUAGGAAAAUAUUAUGAUUCCAGGUCAGCAGCGUACACAACAUAAACACCAAUGCUCUAACAACACAGUAAAGUCAUGAGAUAAAAUCAACUGACUUUUGGAAGGAAGAUAAACAGUGAUGUACUAACUACACAGGGAAGUGCUACUCUGAAAGCAGACAACUCAUAAUAAGAUAAAUGGUGCUCAAUUUUCAAGGAAACUAUAGUGCCAGUGGCCAAGUCAUUCUGAAGGUUCACAUCAUGUAGAUAGCAAAGCAUUACAUGGCUGAAUGUUACUGAACAUUUACAAAGUUAUUCUGAAGUCCUUAUCAACUGGAUAACAACGCUUAAGCAGGGAUAUGAAAUUUAUUAGAACAAUCUUAAAAAGCAACAUACAGACGCAUAGAGAAAUUGAAUAUCAAAUAUACCUUGUUGCAGCAGCAGAUCAUCUGCUUCACUCCAAGAGUGAAAGCAAGGAGGGCAUGCUCACGGGUCUGGCCAUCCUUGGAGAUACCAGCCUCAAAACCUCCAGUCGUGGAGUCAAUGAUAAGCACGGCACAGUCAGCCUGGGAGGUACCGGUAAUCAUGUUCUUGAUGAAGUCACGGUGUCCAGGGGCAUCAAUGACGGUGCAGUAGUACUUGGUGGUCUCGAACUUCCACAAGGCAAUAUCGAUGGUGAUACCUCUCUCACGCUCAGCCUUCAGCUUGUCAAGCACCCACGCGUACUUGAAUGACCUCUUGUUCAUCUCGGCAGCCUCCUUCUCGAACCUCUCGAUCACACGCUUGUCAAUACCUCCAAGCUUGUAGAUCAGGUGGCCAGUGGUGGUCGACUUGCCAGAGUCGACAUGGCCAAUGACCACGAUGUUGAUGUGAGUCUUCUCCUUACCCAUGGCUGAAACUGCAGCAUCGAAGUAACAGGGAUUAGAAAACAGUAUAUCGUCACCAUCAACAUGUCAACAAAAUUAUAUAAGAUACAGAACUACAAAUAGAUGGGUAGUCAGAUGGAAAAGCACAAGAACGAGUGGGACAGCAGGCACCGACUAGAUCUAUUGAACAAUAUGAGAACAAGUACAGCAUGGUAAGGCUAGAAAUACACCACAACUGUAGGGUGUAAGCACAAGUUCGAUCUCUGAGGCAGUACUAAGAAUCGAUUCUAAAUCGAACAGCGCUAUCAGUGCAGGUUGAAGUAAACGAUGUCACAUCUACACGACCCACUAAUCCAUCAACCGAGAGAUCCAACCAAGCACAACUUUACAAGGAUUAAUCCGUCACAAAUCACGCUUACAGCUGCGCCAACAUGCGCCGAGAAACCGUUGUAAAUCUACAGAUCGAGGCUACAGCAUGAACUCAGAACGUCCUCCAAAUUGCAGACAAAUAUAACUUGAAUCAGCCACAAAAACAACGUACAUCUAGAUCCACUCACAGAUCGAAACAGAAUCACCCGCGUAGAUCUAGAGCUACACAACACAAAUAAGCAGAAAAGGGGGAGGAUCCAGAUGCUGACCUCGGAGAAGGAACACAGAGGACGAGGGGCGGCGGCGGGGAGAGGGGAACUGUGAGGGAAAGGGGUUUGGACGUGCGGAAUGGCCCCUUAUAUUGGCCGAGACGGCUGCUAGGGUUUCCUUCCUGGCCGUCUGAUCUCACGGUUGCUAUAAGGGGAAAUCACGUCCGUUGGAUUUCUAGUAUCGCUAAAGAUGCCUGUCCAGAGGACCCAGUUCUCGUAAUGGAAGUGCAUUGGCUCCAAAUAUUUUAUUUUCAGUCCCGUUCUUCUCUUCACUAACCUUUUACAAGUUGUUUUAAAAAACAGUACUACCAAGUUUUGGAUGAUUACCUUAUAUGUUGAGUGAGACAAAAAUAUUUUUUGUGAAAGAAUAUUUUUUGCAGGUAUUUGUGAAAGAACUUGUUUUAAGGCUAAUUAAUUGAGACGAUUGUUGGGUAUGUAUUUCAACGGUUUUAACAAACACGUGCGACGCGUCAUGAAAUUACUGUUUAUUUACAUGUUUGUGACAUAACCUCUUUUAUAUGAAUAUAUGAGGCUGCCUAAUCGUCUAGUCGGCCGAAUUUGUCAUAAGGUUGUGCCAGCUAUUGACUUGUACGCAAUGUUUUUUAAUUUAUAAAACAAGAUGUGGAGGAGCAGGACGUGGAAUGUCACAAUGUUGUUGGAGUGACAAGAAAAAUCACAAGAGAGUGCACUAAUUGAGAAUGUGUGUUCGGAUGAAGGGUUGAGACACGAGUGUAGGCCGAUAAAUGAUAUAUGUAUAGUUAACUCCGACCUAAAAAGAUUAAAUAUGCAAGUGUGGAUUGCUUGACAAAAUAUAUGGAAUUUCGCGAAUUUAUCGUCGAUGAAAAUGUCAAUCUAGUUUUCUACUAUAAGUUUUUGGGUUAUGUACUAGCCAGUUGCACGCUAUUUUUCCUAAAUUUCAAUCACAGUUCAAAGCUUUGGAUCAACACCUAACAUAUUUCAUUCCAAGUAUCUCUACAUAGCAUACAAAUUGAAAUAUGCAAUAACAUACCAGUAAAGUUGCCCACCUUCAAGAUUGCAAUUUUAAGAUGUGUUGUGCUACUACAUUUUCUAUAACUCUCAGGUUGCCCUUUUUUUUUUCUGGAAUCAGUCGCAUUUCAAAGCCUUUGGUCAACAUCCAACCAUAUAUAGUUACCUCAGCCACUCGAUGUAUAACUUGCAAUCGAACACUAUAUUAACUUUUUUUUUGAAGUUUUACCUCUUUAAGAUGUGCAAUUCCGUGCAUCUUUACCUCAGCCACUCGAUGUAUAACUUGCAAUCGAACACUAUAUUAACUUUUUUUUUGAAGUUUUACCUCUUUAAGAUGUGCAAUUUCGUGCAUCUAAGUGCAUCUAAGGUAAUCGAGAUUUCAGGAAAAAAUUAGGGUUAGGUACUUUUUGAGUUCUGGACAUUUUCUAUUAUCCGUUGAUAAAUGUGCGUGAGCUGCUCGACCUUACAGUGCCCCCAAAUUGAAUUAAUGUCUCAUUAAAGACAUGCUUCGUUGAAAAAGAAACUCAGCUUGUUCAUCUAUCUGCGAGCACUCGCGUCAUGCGUCGACUGUUCAUCAACAUUUUUUGUAUGCGUCAUUGCUUAUGUUUGUCUGCCGAAUGCACGCCACGGCACCACAGGACUCCACCUUUUGCACAAGCCUUGAACAGCGGAGCGCUCCUAACUCCCUGUCUCCAGGAAUUAUCUAGCCAGGCCACAGAAGGCACUUGUAGAACAUCACUCACGGAGCACGUUAUCACUGGUUUACAACGCGCGACAACCCCUCAUUUUAAAUUGUGCCAUAGGAUUACAAAUUCUUGGAGACUUUCCUUAUCGGUUUCUAUUACUCAUUUUCACUCCCAUUUGUUUUCUUUCCACUAGUUGAACCUACCUUUUGUUGGUCUCGUUGGUCCCGUUCGUCAAACUUUUCCGAAGAAAAGACCACAUGGUCCUUUAUGUUCCUCCUACCAAUCUUUAGUCCUUCUCUCAUCCGUAGGAUUAGUUGUACGUAUAACCAAAGUCACGUAUGUCUACGGAACGCACAGAAAGCCGGGUACAAAAUUAUUUCUUUGCCAUCUACUCCCUUCGUUCCAUAAUUCUUGUCCAAAAUUUGUCCAAAAGUGAAUGUAUCUAUUCGUAAAAGUCGUCUAGAUACAUGUAAUAUUUCGACAAAAUUAUGGAACGGAGGGGGUAGUAAAUAAAGUGCAGCAGGUGGCUUGGAACACAACAGUUAAAGAAACUCACAUGUUGGAGUUAACUCCAGCCGAUGUGAUUUUUAGAUGAAUUAGUUUGUUUUCUAAUUCUUGAGAUGAAUUAAGAUUUUCUUGUUUUUCUUCAUCAGGAUACCAAGCUUCUGAUUAUUUUAGUCGGAGAAGGCUGCGCUGGAGCAAGAAGGCUUGGAACUCAAGUACACAGACUGUACCGCAACAUGCCUGUGUGCGGAUAAGUUGGCCCAGAGAGCACUUUAAUAGAAUAGAACCUGGCCAAGCUAUUAGACAGAAAGAUACUUUUAAGAAUAAUACAGUGUGCUAUUUAACGGACAUCUGUUCCUUCCACGUUAUUGUUGUUCUGGUUACCUACUCUUUAGUAUUUACCCGGAACCAUCUCUUAGAUUAGCUGAUAUAUCCACAUUUAUUCAGUAAGUAGCAAGUGGAUAUGAGAGGUUGUCACAAGCAGCCGGUUGCCUUGCCUCAAGUUGUUAUUUUGUUGGGCAAAAUAUCCGGUGAAAACCACCUCUACGGUGCAAACUGUGAAAACUCCAUCGAAAAAGGUUCAAAAAAUUCUCGAAACAACGUUAGAAAAGUGAUGUUUUAUAUAUGUGCAAAAUUUCAAGUCCAAAUUCAGUGGCAUUUGGUAGCAGCAAAAAAAACAAAUUAUGCAUGAAUAGUGAUCUUUCAAUGUCUGACACUAUUCAUCGUAAAUUUCUCUUUUUAAUUCCUUCCAAAUGAUUUUGACUUUGAACUUGAAAUUUUGCAGGUUUGUAGAACAUCACACUCCCAACAUAUGGUAUUUUUGUAGAAUUUUUUUGAAACUUUUAGACAUGGUUUUUAUGAAGUUUGCACGGUUUGCACCGAUGAAGGUUUUCACCAGAUACGCCGCCUUGUUGUUGCCUCUUCAUUUAUGGAGUUUCAUUCAGUGUGCAUUCUAUUUUUUUUUUUGUCAAUUUGGCAGAAAAUUAUACUGACAAUUUACAUGACUUAUGUUUUUAACUCUGGACAACCCCCAUAGAAGGAAAAUGGCACAUGUGUGUAGUUUUGGGUUAUUAAGUAGAUAUUGAAAGUUAAGUUUGUUUAGUGAGAUUUUAUGUUGCAAGUUGUUUUGAGAAAGUAAUAAAAAGAUCCCUCUUUGGUGCAAUCUGGAUUGCCGUGAGCCUGUGAUCUACUAUUGAACCACAAUAAAACAACGAAAAGAAUUUAGAAACGGAGGGGGCAGUAACGCCAUAGCAAUGAGCCUUGACAAUAGUUGCGAGAAAACACACAAGUUCAGAAAUAAUGAAAAUAUAUAAGUCAACAUGUGCGCUGCACAAUUACUAGUAAAUAAAAUGCACCGGGUGGCUUAAUAAUUCAACAGUCAAAGCCUCCUCGCGUGUUGGAGUUAAUUCUGGUCGAUUUGAAUAUUCAGAUGAAUUAGUAGAUUUUUUAAUUCUUGAGAUGAAUUAAUCUUAUUUAUAAGGGCAAAGAGCUUCUGAUAAUUUUAGUCGGAAGGGGAGUGCCUUCAAGCAAGAAGGGUGUUAUGAAAUGAUUGAGAAUGAAUGAUUGUGUGUUUUUUCCAUUGAAUGAUGAUCAUAUAUAUACAAGGGGAAGGGACACCAAUACAUGCAUUGGUGUCCCAAGUUUUGGCACUCGCGUUCUAGUUUUGGGAAAAUUGGGACGCGAACGGUUAGAAGGUUAACUGCCUAAUUAACUAUUAAUUAACUAAUAAUUAAUCCUAAUUGAUCAUAACUAAUUAUUCUCAACACUCCCCCUUGAUCAAUUUGCUACGUUGAUGUGUAUAUUCUUGAAUCAUCAUGGAACCUUGUAAUCUUGUAAUUUCCUCCAAAAACCCCGUGGGAAAAAUAUUGAGGAAAUAAUAAUAAUAUUGAUAUGUUAUGAAAACUCCCUUUAAAAACCCAAUGGGAAAAUAAGGAGAAAAUGGUAUAACAUAUUUUGAAAAUUGUUUCUUGAUAAUUCAUAUCGAAUUAUGUGAACAAUAAAUAUGCCUUGUAUAUUAUCCACAAAAACCUUGGUGGGGAAAAUAGAAAAAAUGACAUAUAAUCUUAUGUUAAUAUUGUCUCAUUAAAAACCUUUUAUGAGAAACUAGUGAGUAAAACUCAUAAUAGGAAAAGAGUGCAAUAUGAUGUUAUGAACAGGUUAAACUCAGGUGAAUACUCUCCCUGAUGCUUGCAAAAUUUUAAGUCGUCGCAUACCAAUCCCAUAUACACAUUUCUGAAAUGUGGAGUUGGGUAAGGACUUAGUGAACAAAUCUGCGAGGUUAUCACAUGAUUUGGUUUGCAAGAUAUUUAUCUUCCCAUUUUGUUGUAAUUCAUGAGGAUAGAAUAGUUUAGGUGCAAUAUGUUUAGUUAUAUGGCUUUUUAUAUAACCUGUUUGCAUCUGAGCAACACAAGCAGAAUUAUCCUCAUAGAUAAUUGUAGGUGAUUAAAUUGAACCAAUACCACAUGAUUGUUGUAUGUGGUUAAUCAUUCUGCGUAGCCAUACACUUUCACGAGAUGCUUCGUAUAAAGUUAUUAUUUCCGAAUGAUUUGUGGAUGUAGCCACUAGAGUCUGCUUAGAAUACUUCCACGAUAUGGCUGUCCCACCGUGUAGGAACACGAAACCGGUCUGGGAUCUGGCAUUGUGGGGAUCAGAUAAAUAGCUAGCAUCAGUGUAUCCGAUUAAUCAGAGUUUUGGUUUUCCUUUUGGAAAUAUAGACCUAGAUCUUUAGUGCCUUGUAGGUAGCGAAAAACUUGCUUGACUCCUACCCAAUGGCGUUUUGUUGGAGCUACGUUGUGUCUAGCUAGUAAAUUUACCGCAAAUGUAAUAUCCGGCCGGGUGCAAUUUGCUAGAUACAUUAAUGCCCCAAUAGCACUAAGAUAUGAGAACUCAGGUCCCAAAAUUUCCUCUCCAUCACUUUUUGGUCUGAAUGGAUCUUUCUCCGUCUAAAGAUCAAACUAGCAUAGCUGUUUUGCAUGGAUAGGAUUUGUCCAUGUUAAAUUUCUCCAAGAUUUUCUGGAUAUAUGUAGCUUGGUGAACCAAUAUUCCCGAAGAAAGGUGCUCAAGUUGUAAACCUAAUUGGAAUUUUGUUUUACCCAAAUCUUUCAUUUCAAAUUCCGUCAUUAGAUGAUUACGAGCUUCAUCUAUAUCCUGUUUGUUGCCAAUGAUAUUUAAAUCAUCAACAUAUACAGAGAUAAUGCAAAAUCCUGUUUUCGAUUUCUUGAUGAAUACACAUGGGCAGUCAUCAUUGUUAGAGUAACCAUUUUUAAUGAGAAACUCACUUAGUCGGUUGUACCACAUUCUACUCGACUGUUUUAAACUGUAUAAAGAUUUAUUCAACUUUACACAGUACAUGUUGCGUCUUGUGUUAGUAUUCGGAAUUUGGAUGCCAUCUGGAACCUUCAUGUAAAUAUCCGAAUCUAAUGACCCAUAAAGAUAUGCAGUCGCGACGUCCAUCAACUGCAUAGAUAGACGAUUUUGAACAGACAAUGAGAUUAAAUAUCGGAAUGUAAUUCCAAUCAUAACCGGAGAAUAUGUUUCAUUGAAAUCAAAGUCGGGUCUCUACGUGAACCCUUGUGCUACUAGUCUCACUUUUCAUCUGUCGUAGCCCGGGGCUUAGACACCGGGGAUGCGAGGCACCCCCUUUUAGGUUCGGCAGUGGGCGUUGGGAUCGCUCCGGCGAUCGCCAGCGAGGCCAAUGACGGGCGCUGCAAUGCACAAGUCGGUUUACCCAGGUUCGGGCCACCCGGAGGUGUAAAACCCCACGUCCUGCUUCUGAGUGUUUAUUAACUAAAGAACAGGUGUUUACAAGGUUGUCGGGAGAGUCCCCGGGCGCUCUCUUCCCUUUUUUCUAACUGGCUACUUGCUACCUCUGGACUAGAUCUCUAGGGAUUGCAACCUCAGCUCCAGUCUAACCUUCGGAAAUCGGAACCCCUUGACUGGUGGCGCGGGUCCUCCUUUUAUACUAAGGGGAUACUACAGGUGCCACGGUUUGCAUGGGGGACGCGCCCUAGGACACGCGUCGAACAGGGACCCAAGGCAGCUGCCUUCGCUGUGCUGGCAUGCAUGCACGGUGAGACGCACUGUAGCUAGGGCCACACGUGCCCUAGAUUCACUGCGGGUUACUCACUGCAGGUUGACUAGACGGGUAACCUCCUCCCUGUCGGAGCAUUUAAUGCUCAGCCUGUGCCACACUCCACGCUCUGACCAGCCCUGCGCAAAAGGAGCCUGCCGGGCAGCCACGUGGCGUCGAUACUCUGCUUGCUGGGCACCGGCCCUAUUGUAAACGCUUGCGCCAGGGAACACUCUCCCCGGCAGGUGGGCUUCCCGGGGGGCGUCCUGACGGGGGUCUUCACGCUGUCUUCUGGGGUAAUCCCCGCAACACGGCUAGUCCUGGUCCACGGCAACCCCCUCCCCAGGCUCCUGCCGGGCCGGUGCCUUCCCAGGCAGCUCGCGCCGUGCUGCCCAGGGUGCCGUCCUUGCGGGAAGCAAGUGAGGCGACCCACACUUGAGCAACGGUGGUAGCCCGGGUGCCACUGGUGCGACAAUAGGCCUCGGGCGUGGGCCGGCAACGCCUGUUCCCGGGCGAAAUCAUCCUUGGUCGGUUGUCAGGCUACGUCCUAACCGACGCGUGGGUCCCGAGUCGUUUCGGGCUCCCGACGAUGCGCCGCUCCAGGGACUCCGCCGUUACGAGCGGAGCGGUGGGGGCGAGAUUUCCGUCUCUACGUGAACCCUUGUGCUACUAGUCUCACUUUUCAUCUGUCGUAGCCCGGGGCUUAGACACCGGGGAUGCGAGGCACCCCCUUUUAGGUUCGGCAGUGGGCGUUGGGAUCGCUCCGGCGAUCGCCAGCGAGGCCAAUGACGGGCGCUGCAAUGCACAAGUCGGUUUACCCAGGUUCGGGCCACCCGGAGGUGUAAAACCCCACGUCCUGUUUCUGAGUGUUUAUUAACUAAAGAACAGGUGUUUACAAGGUUGUCGGGGGAGUCCCCGGGCGCUCUCUUCCCUUUUUUCUAAGUGGCUACUUGCUACCUCUGGACUAGAUCUCUAGGGAUUGCAACCUCGGCUCCAGUCUAACCUUCGGAAAUCGGGAUGCACAAAAACCAUUGUACAAAAAGAUUUCUUUGCCAGCUAGUAAAUAAAGCGCAGCAGGUGGCUUGGAACACAACAGUUAAAGAAGCUCACAUGUUGGAGUUAUCUCCAGACGAUGUGAUUUUAUAGAUGAAUUAGUUUGUUUUCUAAUUCUUGAGAUGAAUUAAUCUUCUGAUUAUUUUAGUCGGAGAAGGCUGCGCUGAACCAAGAAGGGUUGGAACUCAGGUACACAGGGGCUGCCUUUGUGCGACAAGUAGCUCUGGAAGUUGAUGGUCGCAUCCAGCAGAUGCUUGAAUAGAAAAGACAGAGAAAAAUCUAAACUAGCAGGCUUAGUCCACAACACUUAUUUACUGAACCGCAACAUGCCUGUGUGGAUAAGUUGGCCCAGAGAACACUUUAAUACAGUAGAACAGAACAAGGCCAAGUUAUUAGACAGAAAGAUACUUUUAAGAAUAAUGCAAUGUGCUAUUUAACGGGUAUCUGUUUCUUCCACAUUAUUAUUGUUCUGGUUACCUACUCUUUAGUAUUUACACGGAACCAUGUCUUAAAUUAGCUGAUGUAUCCACAUUUCUUCAGCAAGUAGCAAGUGGAUCUGAGCGGUUGUCACAAGCAGCCGGUGGCGUUGCCUCAAGUUGUUAUGUUGCUGCCUCUCAUUUAUGGAGUUUCAUUCAGCGUGCAUGAUUUUUUCUAUUGUUGGUCAACUUGGCAGAAAAUUAUACUGACAAUUUACAUGACUUCUGUUUUUAAUUCUGGACGAUCCCCAUACAAGGAAAAUAUCGAAAGUUAAGUUUUUUAGUGAGACUUUAUGUUGCAAGUCAUUUUGAGAAAGUAAUAGUAAGAUCCCUCUUGGGUGCAAUUCGGAUUGCCAUGAGCCCAUGAUCUACUAUUGAACUAAACGAAAAUAAUUUAGGAGCUGAGUGAGUAGUAACGCCAUAGGAAUGAGCCUUGAUAAUAGUUGCGAGAAAACAAAAUUGUUCAGAAAUAAUGAAAUAUACAAGUCAAUAUGUGCGUUGCACAAUUACUCGUAAAUAAAAUGCACCGGGUGGCUUAAUAAUUCAAAAGUCAAAGCCUCGCGUGUUGGAGUUAAUUCCCGUCGAUUUGAAUAUUUAGAUGAAUUAGUAGGUUUUUUUAAUUCUUGAGAUGAAUUAAGCUUCUUUUUAAGGGCAAAGAGCUUUUGAUUAUUUUAGUCGGAAGGGAAGUUCCUUCAAGCAAGAAGGCGAUUAGAAUCUGAACGCCAAGUGGCACAAAUUCUGCCGUGAGAGGACAGAGUGCUUGGGGACCAGAAUAUCAACUUUUUGGUUAGAAUCUGGAAACCCAGGUGCCCAAAUGAUUCCUCUGAAAGGACAAAGAGUACUUCGGGGCCAGAAUAACAUACAGUAUUCGUAUUUUAGUUAGAAUCUGGAACUCAAGUGCACAAAUUCUCUGAGGACAAAUUGUGCUUCGAGGCCAGAAUAUAACGAUCUACUACGAAGUUGAUCGCCGUAUGCAGCGAAUGCGAGAAAAGGGAAUACAAACCAAUACUUUGGAGUUAAGAGGCCAACGUCAAGAUAGCCUAGUUGCAGUGUUACAAACAAAGAGUAAUUAUUUAUAUUGAAAUUAUUAUGUACUCUAGCUUCAAGCCAGCAGCAACAAGUGGAAAAUCUGCUGCGGACGAAAGAAGCGGAGAAACCUAACCAACCUCUAAUCAGAAAAACGGAGAACAGUGAAAAAAGAAAAAUUAGGACAUAAACGUAUCACAUGAUUACAGGCUACGCUGCUACAUAAAGAUGGAAUAGCAGAACAAAAACAAAUUGCGAAGAAAUCAAGGAAACAGAACAUGAGUUAACUAAGUUCAAUCUAAGCAAUCAGAUCCCUGAGAAGUUAAAAGGACACAAGCAUCAUAGCACACAGGUUUUAACCGAACCGAAAUAGGAAUACAGUAUUUAAACGACAGACAUGAACAUUGCUUACAUAGUUUCAAGAGUCUCAGCAAUACGAGCAAUGCACAUAGACAAAACUUAGUAAACACUAAAACUGCAGCCAGACAUCUCAAUCCCCAACACAGAACAAAUCAUUUCUUCUUGGCAGCCGCCUUGGUGACCUUGGCGCCGGUUGGGUCCUUCUUCUCCACACCCUUGAUGACACCAACAGCAACUGUUUGUCUCAUGUCACGCACAGCAAAACGACCAAGAGGAGGGUACAUGGCGAAGGUCUCCACAACCAUGGGCUUGGUGGGAAUCAUCUUCACGAUACCAGCAUCACCGUUCUUCAAGAACUUGGGCUCCUUCUCCAGCUCCUUACCAGAUCGCCUGUCGAUCUUGGUCACCAG
rnacentral:lncRNA from 1 species